rnacentral:sRNA from 1 species
GCAAUUUGACCUAACAGCACUAGUUAAAGCUACUGCUUGUUGGAUGACAGAUGACAACGAAAGACAAUUCUGGCAUUAAAAGUAAAAGACGGAUUCGUUUUUUAGCUUUAGGAAUUAUUAUUUUGAUUCUUGUAAUUGCUGUAAUCACCAUUUUAUUUGUCACGGGUGUAAUUACCCGCGCUAACCAAUAAAACGUAGUUGAUGGCCAAUAAAGAUCAAAAUCUAACGCUUUGAUACGACCAACUACUGAGCAAAGCACAAUUAGUGAGCUAUGGCGAUGUGAAGGGCACUAACUGUUUUUUACCCAACAGUU